rnacentral:lncRNA from 1 species
AUACCUAGAAAAAAAUUUGUACAAUUUGAUACAAAUAUAGAUGUAUAUAAGAAUUUACAUAAAUUACUUAAUACGAAUAAAUGUCAAAAAAGAAAAAAUAAUGAUAAUGUAAAAAACGAAGUUUUGAAAAAAGAAAAAAAUUAUUACGUACUUGAUUAUUCUAAAAGAAAAGAAAUAGACUAUCAUAAAUUUCCAAGCACUUUGUUAAAAAAUAAUAAUAUAUUUGAAUAUGUGAGAAAACUUAUGACUGCAUUUAAACCAAAGAAAUUUAUAUUUGUAGGGACUUAUUCUUAUAUAUUUGUAUUUGAAAUAGAUAAUAUAAUGAGCAACAGUAUUAACUAUGUAACCGAAUCAUUUUUUAAUUUGGACAUGUUUAUAAAUAUUAAUGUAUAUAACAAAAUUAAAGAAAUAUCAAAUGAUGUAUAUAGUAUAUAUAACAUUUUUAUUAAAAAGGUUGGAAAAGAUUUAUGCCAUAAAAAAUUAAAAUUAAAAUUUUUAUUUAAAUUAUAUUUAGGAGCAGUAACACCAUUAGAUUUUGCCAUAAGAGAGAAAGGGAAUUAUUUAUGUGUUAAAACAUUAGAAAAAGUUUUUUUAUAUAAAAUUAAUUACAAAAAAGUCGAAAACAAGAACGAUGUUACCAAUGAUAGGAAAAGUACUUCUGUUAAUAAUAAGUUAACAGAUAAGGAUAAAGAUAAUGAUAUUAUUUCUGAACUAAUGAAUAAAAAUUUACAAAAUUUAGAUGAUAAUACAUUACGAAUAGCAACAGGAUAUAAAAAAAAAGAGGAAAUUGUUACAAAUAUUUAUAUUGAUCAGAUUUAUUUAUAUCAUAUUAUUAAUAACCCAAUUCAAAGAGAAGUAUAUAUGUUGUGCUGUUUUAGUGAAAAUGUGAGCCAAUCUUUUUUUUUACUUGUUUCAUUAAAAGCAGGCAUGUACACAUUAUACAUUUAUAAUUUAAGAGAAAUGGAUUUACAAAAGGCAAUUAAAAUAAAUAUUUCAGUACAUAAAGGAU